rnacentral:rRNA from 1 species
AGAGUUUGAUCAUGGCUCAGGAUGAACGCUGGCGGCGUGCCUAACACAUGCAAGUCGAGCGAUCUUCUUCGGAAGAGAGCGGCGGACGGGUGAGUAACGCGUGGGUAACCUGCCUCAUACACAUGGAUAACAUACCGAAAGGUAUGCUAAUACGAGAUGAUAUAAGAGAUUCGCAUGGAUUUCUUAUCAAAGCUUUUGCGGUAUGAGAUGGACCCGCGUCUGAUUAGCUAGUUGGUAAGGUAAUGGCUUACCAAGGCGACGAUCAGUAGCCGACCUGAGAGGGUGAUCGGCCACAUUGGAACUGAGACACGGUCCAAACUCCUACGGGAGGCAGCAGUGGGGAAUAUUGCACAAUGGGCGAAAGCCUGAUGCAGCAACGCCGCGUGAGCGAUGAAGGCCUUCGGGUCGUAAAGCUCUGUCCUCAAGGAAGAUAAUGACGGUACUUGAGGAGGAAGCCCCGGCUAACUACGUG